GGUUAAGCGACUAAGCGUACACGGUGGAUGCCCUGGCAGUCAGAGGCGAUGAAGGACGUGCUAAUCUGCGAUAAGCGUCGGUAAGGUGAUAUGAACCGUUAUAACCGGCGAUUUCCGAAUGGGGAAACCCAGUGUGAUUCGUCACACUAUCAUUAACUGAAUCCAUAGGUUAAUGAGGCGAACCGGGGGAACUGAAACAUCUAAGUACCCCGAGGAAAAGAAAUCAACCGAGAUUCCCCCAGUAGCGGCGAGCGAACGGGGAGGAGCCCAGAGCCUGAAUCAGUGUGUGUGUUAGUGGAAGCGUCUGGAAAGGCGCGCGAUACAGGGUGACAGCCCCGUACACAAAAAUGCACAUGCUGUGAGCUCGAUGAGUAGGGCGGGACACGUGGUAUCCUGUCUGAAUAUGGGGGGACCAUCCUCCAAGGCUAAAUACUCCUGACUGACCGAUAGUGAACCAGUACCGUGAGGGAAAGGCGAAAAGAACCCCGGCGAGGGGAGUGAAAAAGAACCUGAAACCGUGUACGUACAAGCAGUGGGAGCACGCUUAGGCGUGUGACUGCGUACCUUUUGUAUAAUGGGUCAGCGACUUAUAUUCUGUAGCAAGGUUAACCGAAUAGGGGAGCCGAAGGGAAACCGAGUCUUAACUGGGCGUUAAGUUGCAGGGUAUAGACCCGAAACCCGGUGAUCUAGCCAUGGGCAGGUUGAAGGUUGGGUAACACUAACUGGAGGACCGAACCGACUAAUGUUGAAAAAUUAGCGGAUGACUUGUGGCUGGGGGUGAAAGGCCAAUCAAACCGGGAGAUAGCUGGUUCUCCCCGAAAGCUAUUUAGGUAGCGCCUCGUGAAUUCAUCUCCGGGGGUAGAGCACUGUUUCGGCAAGGGGGUCAUCCCGACUUACCAACCCGAUGCAAACUGCGAAUACCGGAGAAUGUUAUCACGGGAGACACACGGCGGGUGCUAACGUCCGUCGUGAAGAGGGAAACAACCCAGACCGCCAGCUAAGGUCCCAAAGUCAUGGUUAAGUGGGAAACGAUGUGGGAAGGCCCAGACAGCCAGGAUGUUGGCUUAGAAGCAGCCAUCAUUUAAAGAAAGCGUAAUAGCUCACUGGUCGAGUCGGCCUGCGCGGAAGAUGUAACGGGGCUAAACCAUGCACCGAAGCUGCGGCAGCGACACUAUGUGUUGUUGGGUAGGGGAGCGUUCUGUAAGCCUGUGAAGGUGUACUGUGAGGUAUGCUGGAGGUAUCAGAAGUGCGAAUGCUGACAUAAGUAACGAUAAAGCGGGUGAAAAGCCCGCUCGCCGGAAGACCAAGGGUUCCUGUCCAACGUUAAUCGGGGCAGGGUGAGUCGACCCCUAAGGCGAGGCCGAAAGGCGUAGUCGAUGGGAAACAGGUUAAUAUUCCUGUACUUGGUGUUACUGCGAAGGGGGGACGGAGAAGGCUAUGUUGGCCGGGCGACGGUUGUCCCGGUUUAAGCGUGUAGGCUGGUUUUCCAGGCAAAUCCGGAAAAUCAAGGCUGAGGCGUGAUGACGAGGCACUACGGUGCUGAAGCAACAAAUGCCCUGCUUCCAGGAAAAGCCUCUAAGCAUCAGGUAACAUCAAAUCGUACCCCAAACCGACACAGGUGGUCAGGUAGAGAAUACCAAGGCGCUUGAGAGAACUCGGGUGAAGGAACUAGGCAAAAUGGUGCCGUAACUUCGGGAGAAGGCACGCUGAUAUGUAGGUGAAGUCCCUCGCGGAUGGAGCUGAAAUCAGUCGAAGAUACCAGCUGGCUGCAACUGUUUAUUAAAAACACAGCACUGUGCAAACACGAAAGUGGACGUAUACGGUGUGACGCCUGCCCGGUGCCGGAAGGUUAAUUGAUGGGGUCAGCGCAAGCGAAGCUCUUGAUCGAAGCCCCGGUAAACGGCGGCCGUAACUAUAACGGUCCUAAGGUAGCGAAAUUCCUUGUCGGGUAAGUUCCGACCUGCACGAAUGGCGUAAUGAUGGCCAGGCUGUCUCCACCCGAGACUCAGUGAAAUUGAACUCGCUGUGAAGAUGCAGUGUACCCGCGGCAAGACGGAAAGACCCCGUGAACCUUUACUAUAGCUUGACACUGAACAUUGAGCCUUGAUGUGUAGGAUAGGUGGGAGGCUUGGAAGUGUGGACGCCAGUCUGCAUGGAGCCGACCUUGAAAUACCACCCUUUAAUGUUUGAUGUUCUAACGUUGACCCGUGAUCCGGGUUGCGGACAGUGUCUGGUGGGUAGUUUGACUGGGGCGGUCUCCUCCUAAAGAGUAACGGAGGAGCACGAAGGUUGGCUAAUCCUGGUCGGACAUCAGGAGGUUAGUGCAAUGGCAUAAGCCAGCUUGACUGCGAGCGUGACGGCGCGAGCAGGUGCGAAAGCAGGUCAUAGUGAUCCGGUGGUUCUGAAUGGAAGGGCCAUCGCUCAACGGAUAAAAGGUACUCCGGGGAUAACAGGCUGAUACCGCCCAAGAGUUCAUAUCGACGGCGGUGUUUGGCACCUCGAUGUCGGCUCAUCACAUCCUGGGGCUGAAGUAGGUCCCAAGGGUAUGGCUGUUCGCCAUUUAAAGUGGUACGCGAGCUGGGUUUAGAACGUCGUGAGACAGUUCGGUCCCUAUCUGCCGUGGGCGCUGGAGAACUGAGGGGGGCUGCUCCUAGUACGAGAGGACCGGAGUGGACGCAUCACUGGUGUUCGGGUUGUCAUGCCAAUGGCACUGCCCGGUAGCUAAAUGCGGAAGAGAUAAGUGCUGAAAGCAUCUAAGCACGAAACUUGCCCCGAGAUGAGUUCUCCCUGACUCCUUGAGAGUCCUGAAGGAACGUUGAAGACGACGACGUUGAUAGGCCGGGUGUGUAAGCGCAGCGAUGCGUUGAGCUAACCGGUACUAAUGAACCGUGAGGCUUAACCUU
rnacentral:rRNA from 1 species